UUCUAAGGGUAAGACUGUGGUGUGUUUU
rnacentral:piRNA from 1 species